UGGGCAUCCGAAAGUUUGGGUGUGAUACGACCUUAUCAAAUGGGCUUUCUGCUCCAGCCUCGAUACUAAUUAUUAGGUCAGAGGGACAUCUGGCCCAUAUUUUGGCCCAUUUUUUCAUUCUCUUCAACUCUUUGUAGAGGACUCAACUUAUACAAUAUUUAAUUAGACAUACAAUCAUAAUGAAAAAGGACUUGCGAAGUAU
rnacentral:lncRNA from 1 species